rnacentral:tRNA from 1 species
GCCUGGGUGGCUUAGUCGGUGAAGCUUCUGACUUCAGCUCAGGUUGUGAUCUCAUGGUCCGUGAGUUCGAGUCCCGCGUCGGGCU